UUGACCUCGGAUCAGGUAGGGAUACCCGCUGAACUUAAGCAUAUCAAUAUGCGG
rnacentral:rRNA from 1 species